rnacentral:rRNA from 1 species
ACGGGGUCAUUGCCUUAGUAGCGGCGAGUGAAGCGGCAAAAGCUCAAAUUUGAAAUCUGGCGCCUUCGGUGUCCGAGUUGUAAUUUGAAGAUUGUAACCUUGGGGUUGGCUCUUGUCUAUGUUUCUUGGAACAGGACGUCACAGAGGGUGAGAAUCCCGUGCGAUGAGAUGCCCAAUUCUAUGUAAGGUGCUUUCGAAGAGUCGAGUUGUUUGGGAAUGCAGCUCUAAGUGGGUGGUAAAUUCCAUCUAAAGCUAAAUAUUGGCGAGAGACCGAUAGCGAACAAGUACAGUGAUGGAAAGAUGAAAAGAACUUUGAAAAGAGAGUGAAAAAGUACGUGAAAUUGUUGAAAGGGAAGGGUUUGAGAUCAGACUCGAUAUUUUGUGAGCCUUGCCUUCGUGGCGGGGUGACCCGCAGCUUAUCGGGCCAGCAUCGGUUUGGGCGGUAGGAUAAUGGCGUAGGAAUGUGACUUUACUUCGGUGAAGUGUUAUAGCCUGCGUUGAUGCUGCCUGCCUAGACCGAGGACUGCGAUUUUAUCAAGGAUGCUGGCAUAAUGAUCCCAAACCGCCCGUCUUGAAMMAMSGGACACA